AAAAGGAAGAAGAUAUAAAGGAGAACGAGUACGAUGAACAGCGUGAGAGUUAAACACGCGGUGUAUGAUUCGAGAGAGAGAGGAUCGAGAAGCCGAACAACGAUCGUGCGUGAGACAAGUGCGGAGAAAAGGAGAGCAGAAACGCGCGCGUUUAAGACCACUGUCGCCGUCGUUUCAAUUGCUAUUACACGCGGUUGUUACGUGAUAAACGUACCAGGCGUACUUACCUGCUGCAACGUGGCCGGUGGCGGUCGCGAUCGAUCGUCGGAGAAGACAUCGAGGCGCCAGUGAAACCAUAAUCUGCCGGUGAAAUCACAUGCACGAAUCUCGCGUGACUCGAUACACUUGCGUGUUUGAAUUUCGACUGGCUGAUACGGAGGAAGAAUAAUCACUGGCGAAGCAACGCAGACGACAGCCAUUUUCGAAUAUCAGGGCUAGGGUGAAAGAAUUCGUCAACGACCUGAAUAGCUCAAUUGAUCAGAACAGUCUGCCUGGCAAACGAAAGAUCCGGCUACGAUACGGGGACACCCGGUACAUGAUCGGGCCAGAUGUAGACUGAGAAUUGAAACGGUAAGAACAGCUGCGGGUCCAAACGUGAGCUGUUAUUGUUUUUGUGAAUCACCAGUGGGUAAUAGUGGAAUGUCAACAGAAGUGUCGCUUCUGUUCGACUGCGAACCAUUUUACGUUCAACUUUCAUGCAACUGUAUGCAAGUGUUUGGCAGACUGCAAACGUGCAACUAUUACGUGACCAUUAUGAAACCUGUUAACAAGAGAAAGGAAAUAAGCGCUUUUCUAUUUUCUCCUGACAAAAUAAUUAUAACUUUCUGUUAUUAGAAUUUCAUUUUAAAUUUAUAUGAUCACGAACGAAAACUGCUAUCCUUAGUUUUUUUUAUACAA